rnacentral:snRNA from 1 species
GGAUGUGAGGACGAUCUGGCUGCAACAUUUGUCACCCCAUUGAUUGCCAGGGUUGAUUAGACUGAUCUGACUGGCUAGGCGGGUGUCCCCUUCCUCCCUCACAGCUCCAUGUGCAUCACUCCAGAAACUGCAUGCUUGGUCGAAGAGGAUGGCCUUCAUGGAAUAAAGACCGACCGGUCUUCGGUGGAAGGUAUAUGAGUAGCUGCACUCCCCUGCUAGAACCUCCAAACAAAUUCUCAAGAAAAAAGAAGAGCAAAGCAGAAUUGAGUUGAAAGUAAAAGCAAAAAAGUAUUUUUGUGUGAGUUUAAGUAUUU